rnacentral:lncRNA from 1 species
CCGUGGCCGUUCUCACCCAGCUUCGCCUCCAGAUCCAUCGCCUCCGUAUUCCGCCGCCGAGAAGGUUAGGGUUUUUGCCCCGCCGCCGAAGAGAAGGUUAGCGAAAUGCCUCUAGGGGUGUGUGCAACAUGUGCUUGUGACAAUGUUUCUAUUGGCUAGUACUGCACCUGUCUGGUUCUAAGAUGCUAAUCUUACCCCAAUACCUUUUUUAAGGAAAAAAGAGAGAAAAAUGAACUCCAACAAUCCACCUAAACCUUCCCCAAUUUUUUAGCGACGCUAAAAAACAGCCUGCCACUGCGUAUAUUUUACGUUGGCAUUCCUCCCCCAAUCCUGUUUCCCGCAUGCCCUCGUGUCCCUUCCGAUGGGCCCAAUACGAUGACGUGGCCUGUGUUUGAAAUAUUGGGGGCUAUUUAUUAGCGAUCUGCUGUGGAUUGAUAUGUUUUUGGGGGAAAUUUUUUUUGGGAGAACCCCCAAUACAUAGUUUUGGGGAAUAAUUUUUUAGGAUACUCUUGGAGUUGCUCUGGCAUGCAAAUAUUUUGCAUUUAUUUGGUGCCAAAGACGUCCGAAUAGAUGGGGCCACCGGACAAGUUGUGCUUCCAAAGACCAAAAGCUAGUAUGUAAUAGCUUUGUCUUGACCGUGAAUUCUUUUGUCGGACCAAAUCUCAUUGCUCUUCAAUCGGGCUUAGGUUUACUUGGUCUAGCUAGCCAUUGUAGCAGGUCUUGCAGCUCUUGUUCUGCACCAUGUGAUGUCAGUGGUCUUGUUCUGACUUGCCACCUUUCAUCGAUCUUACAUUCAGCCACUGAGAUAUUGGUGCUUGUCACAUAUGAGCAUAGGUGAGGAUAUUGAGUGGCGACAGGCUUUCUAGAUAUCCAACUGUCAAUGCCAAUUAUCACAAUUGUCACUGUAAAGGUGAAUUAGAGAUAAUAAUUGUCACCACCAAGCUGCUGUCGAUUUAUUCACUUUAUCCCCAAGUCGUUUUACCAUUGGCAAACACUGUUGUAUUAAUCCAUCUUUCCCAAGGGGAGUUUGGCUGUGUGUGAAUUUUGUGCAAAAACUUAAAAAGUAAACUGAUGCUUUGUUGUUCUAUACUUUUUUGUCCCUAAACCACUUCAUUCUGAGGGCCACAAGCAGUUUCCCAUGCUACCAUGCAGAUGCAGUUAGCACCAGUCACAUGUUUUCCCCUUUCCAGAAUUUUUUUCAAAAGAUCCGGAAGAUGUCCGGCGUAUAUUAAUAAGAAGAAGAGAGUUAGAUCCAGUUUAUGAGGGAAACCGGAUCCAGUCACAUGUUUUCCCCUUUCCAGAAUAAAGCUCUUCUUUUGUCAAUCUCUUAUAUCAGUGUCGUUGUCAAGAUUAUCAGGAGCUGCUCGUGUUGCCCACGUGGGGUUCUGGGGUUCUGUAGUAGGGGUUACAGGAGUGCGAGAGAGGGAGCUGAUGAUCGCAGGCCUCUUGGAUGUGCACUGAUGCUCAAAGUGGGUGUGAGUGUGUUCUGUUAGCUUGGAAGCUCCGACUUUUUUGUUUUUCAGCCCUUUUUGCGAAAGAUUCUCACAAAUAGGCCCCUGGCGGAACCAAUUCCAAAAAUGGACCCUUAGCUUGGCGCCAUCCACGCUGGCGCCAAGCUACAACGUCUUGGCACCAGCCAUCCUGGCGCCAAGGUCUGUACAUAGCUGCUGACACGGAUGCCGAUGUGGCGGGGCUUGGCGCCAUCCAUGAUGGCGCCAAGAUGGCGCCAAGGCUUGGCGCCAUGGAUCUUGGCGCCAAGCUUGGCGCCGUAGAUCUUGGCGCCGAGCUAUCUACCGCUACCUCUACGCGUUUCGAACUAAACAAGUAUAAUUAUUCCGAGGAAUAUGCAACUACCUAAGCUGUGGUUCAGCUGGUUAGGAGGUGGACUUUUUAUCGUGGAGACCUGAGUUCGAACCCCACUAUUGAACUUUUUUUCUACAUUUUAUUUUUGAGAGACGAAACAAAACGACGGCGCCAGCGUCCGUCCACAUUUGUUUUUUUUGAGAGACGAAACAAAACAGAGCUUUUUUUAGCCUUUGAACGCCCUGCGCCCCAGCUCGGCCACUCUGCGGACUGAUUUUUUUUUUAAUUUGGAAGGGAGGGCUGACACGUACAAACUCCACAAACUAUAUUAUCCUAGGAUACAAGAUUUCGUAAAAUAAAGUUGCACCGUUUGUUGGACAACAGAGAAAAAAAAUAAAGAAAAAAAAUAAAAUGUAGAAAAAAGGUUCAAUAGUGGAGUUCGAACUCAGGUCUCCAGGAUAAGAAGUCCACCUCCUAACCAGUUGAACCACAGAUUAGAUUGUUGCAUACUUCUCGGAAUAAUUAUACUUGUUUAGUUCGAAACGCGUAGAGGUAGCGAUAGAUAGCUCGGCGCCAAGAUCUACGGCGCCAAGCUUGGCGCCAUGAGCUUGGCGCCAUGGAUCUUGGCGGCGCCAAGAUCCAUGGCGCCAAGGCUUGGCGUCAUCAUGGAUGGCGCCAAGGCUUGGCGUCAUCAUGGAUGGCGCCAAGCCCCGCCACAUCGGCAUCCGCGUCAGCAGCUAUGUACAGACCUUGGCGCCAGGAUGGCUGGCGCCAAGACGUUGUAGCUUGGCGCCAAGCUAAAGGUCCAUUUUUGGAAUUGGUUUCGCCAGGGGCCUAUUUGUGAGAAUCUUUCGCAAAAAGUGCUGAAAAACAAAAAAGUCGGGCUCCCCCGUGUCUCAGGCCUCCGGUUCUCCUUUUAUAACGCAAGGAGGCCACCGAGGUUACAGGUGAGACCGGCUGUCAGGAGAAGUAAAAGAGAUAAACAAAGCUAUAGAAUACUCCCUCUGUCCUGAAAAGGAUGCAACUAUGGUAUGCGUGCCAGUUAAAGUGCUUCACGUUUGACCAUGUUUGUAGUAAAUAGUAUUCACAUUUAUGGCUCCAAAUUAAUUUAUUAUGAAAAUACAUUUCGUAAUUAAUCUAAUGAUGCAUGUUUAUUUGAUAUUAUAUAUAUUUAUACUUUUUCAUCUAUAAUAGGUCAAACUUGACACAGUAAAUCAUUCCAGAAUUGCAUUCUUUUGGGGACGGAGGGAGUACAACACAAGGAGAGGGACCAAGUCCCCAGGCCACCGGCGCCCUCGCCGGCCUUCGGCUCCUGCCGGCGCGUCUGACGGAGGAGGGCGGCCGCCGUCGCGUCCCGUCGAUGGUCUCCUCGACGGCUGUCGCCGCCAGGCGUGAUGACGGUGUUUCGUCGUGGCACCUGUGUCCGUUGGGGGAGGCGGCGGAUCCCGCCACUUGCUGACGGCCCGCGGAAGGCGGACGUCGCGUCCCUGUCGCCGGAUGCGUGGGGCGCGAGGACGGGCGCGACUUCCUCCUGCUCCGGGCGGCGCAAGCCAUGAGUGCCCUUGCUGCGAAUCAGGGGGAUCUGCGGCCACUGUAGCCUGUGCGGUCGUGGCUACAGUGUUCCGCUCGGGUACUUGUGGCGGGUCACGUCGAGGGGCGCGGGCGCCUUUCUGCGUGCCAGAGCCGCGGUGCAUUUAUGGCGAGACCGCUGGGGGGGCCCACAAGAUCCGCGCCCUCGUCCGUCGGUCUGCGCCCGAGGUGGACACUUGUCUCGUGGGCCCGGAUGAGUCCGACCCCCUACGCCCGGGGUCGGGCGAAGCGGAGCCUUGCGGCGAGGGGUCGGGCGCUCCCGACCCUGGGACCGCGGUCGGGCGAGGCGGAGUCCCGCCAUCGAGGGGUCGGGAUUGUCCGACCCCGGGGCCCUGGGUCGGGCGAGACGGAGUGGGAUGUUCUCUGCCUCUACCGGGUCGGCGGUAAUCGUAAUUACCGCAGGUGGGCCUGGGCCUUCAUGACUGUUGCUUUAAGCGGCAUUAGGAGGUCGUUAAUACCCAACAAUCAGCCAUUCAGGGACCCUUAAACACGACAUCAAGUAGGCUAAUCUAGUCGUCACGGCUGAGUUAGUUAAAAUGAGCCGCCUCCCACCACUGGUUAUACCUCUCCUGGAGAAAGUGUCAAUACUAGUAUCGAUUUUAGACAGGAUCACAGGAUCUUGGACUGGAUUUCACGUGGGAUAGUGGCAGGCCAAGAUAGAUUUGAGGGAAGGAUGAAAUUGGACAGCUUAAGAUGUUUGAGAUGCUUUGAAUUUCCUAAUCAUUCCAACAUAUAGAGAUAAAGGUGGACUUUAAAAGAAUUGACAUUAAGACCAGUGUUUCUUUGCAAAAUCAGUGAGGAUCUCAUGUAACCAUUUCACUUGUACAGUAUCUCCUUCGAUAAUGAUCAAAGUUUCGUCUGCAUAUUGUAGAACUAGGCAAGGGCUGUUGGGUAGAAUGGGUGUCUUAGAACCCCUUCCGGUGUAAAACGGUUGAUUGUUUGUUGAAGGAUGUCUGCAACUAUUAUGAAACGCACAGGUGAAAGAUGAUCCCCUUGACGAAGCCCUUUUCUCAUUUGAAUCCAGGGUCCCGGUGUGCCAUUUGAUAAAACCGCCGUCUUUGAUGCUGCUUUUAAAGCUGACGUCCAGUUGAUACAAUUUUUUUGGGAUGCCUCUCACUUGCAAAAGCCUGAACAGGCAUUCCCAAGAAAACUGUGUCAAAAGCUUUCAUCAAGUUUAAGGAUGUCAGCUCUCUUUUUCCUUUUUUCGCAACAUUGAAGUAUUGAACUAAGUCUGCAGCAACCAUGAAGUUGCCUGCUAUACAUCUUCUCUUAACAAAACCAGUUUGCUCUUGAUUCGCUAAAUUUCCAUUUGGAAUCUUGCAGAGAGAACUGUUGUUACCAAUUUUACUGGGCAAUUUAACAGAGAGAUUGGUUGAUAUGAAUCUGGAGUGCAAUAAUCUUUAUUUUUCUUAAGAAGAACCAUGAAAGAUCUGCUGAUUCUCACACGAUCUAGAAUGCAGUUAUGAAAAUCCCGGAAAGUUUGAUGUAUGUGGUGCUUAGUAAGUUGCAAAAAAAAAAAUGGUAGCAGCCCAAACCAAAACCAUCUGGUCUUUUGUCUUUUGGAACAUCUUUGACUGCUGCAAGAAUUUCUUGGUCAGAGAAAGGUGCUAUGAGAGGAAAAUCAUAUAGUGUUGGGUAGACAGCACAAAAACCAAUUUGGUCAAAAAAAAUUCCUGUGUGCCAAACAGGUUUUUGUAUAAAAAAGAGUUAGAAAAACCUUAUGAAUGUAGAAAUAGUUGCCUUCACGUUCCACGGUUCCACCACCUUUUGCUGUUAUUACUUGGUCAUUGGACUUUGAUUGCCUUUCAGGUACGAUUGGAAUUACAAACAGAUCAGAUAGGGUGCCAUAUAUCUUGAGGUAACAUUUCGUCAGCAUCCUUCACAAUCAUCUAAGUGGAUGCCCUUUUCAACAGUUAGAUUGCUUAGAUAUGGCCUGUGUUGAUGAGGUAUUUUCUUGUUGUCGUUGUUAGUUAACAUUGAUAUUUUUCCGUGAAGGGCUGUAUUUUUCCCCCAAUUAAUAUUAGCUACUUGCAAUGUUGAGAUGUUGUAAGCCAUUGAUCUUUUAUGUGACUGUACAAUAACAUGCUCACCAGUAAGAAAAUAGCCAUGCUAGACACAAAGAAUUUUGUAACACCAAAUAAAUUAAGGUGCGCCGAGGAUUUUUUCCUUUACAAAGCCUCUCUAUGGAAGGAGAUAAAGAAUGUACGGUCAGCCACUAUAGAUACCUGCAAUGGCACCAACUGUGACUGUAGGCACUCAAAUGCAGUAUGCCAUCGUUUAAAAUUUACCUGGCCUUUUCAUAUGCAUUCAUUGCUUUAACCACCAAUUCAACUAUAUAUCACUGUAAAAAAAUACAUAAAAGAACAAGGAUCGUGCCUGGAUGCCUGCAAAAGCAUAACUUGACCAUGAGAGAACAUUCAGGCAAAUUUGAGUCACAUUAAUAACAACAACAGAAUUUGGACGGAAUUACAAGUGUACAUAUUCGUGACCGGUUACGUUGGGGACGCCGCUCCCUUUUGGCUAGACAGGGCCGCGGCGCAUUUAUGGCGAGGUCGAUAGGGGGACCCACGAGAUCGUCAUCCUGAUCCUCCAGUCCGCGCCCGAGGCGAAUAUUCGUCUCGUGGACCCGAGCGAGUCCAACCCCCGCGCCCAGGGUCGGGCGAGGCGGAGUUUCUGUGGUGGGGGUCGGGCGCGUCCGACCCUGGGACUCCAGGUCGGGCGAGGCGGGGUUUAGUCUUCAAGGGGUCGGGAGCGUCCGACCCCGGGACUCCGGGUCGGGCGAGGCGGAGUUUAGUCUUCUAGGGGUCGGGAGCGCCCGACCCGGGACUCCGGGUCGGGCGAUGCGGAACCUGGCCUCUCCCUUUCAUGUUGGGCCGACGGCAAUUUCGCUACCUUAGAUGGGCCUGGGCCUUCAUGACUGUUGCUUUAAGCGGCAUUAGGAGGUCGUUAAUAUUUCCCCCCAACACAAUCCUAAGCCACAAUUUUGUAUCUCUUGUGGAUAAUUUUAUAUCUCAUUAUCUCUUGUGGUUGUGAUCAUGCUGGUUCUGCCAGUUGAUUCCCACAUCAAAACAUCGGCUACCAUGGCCCUAAACAUGAGGCAGCCAACCUCAAAAAGUCGCAGGUCACACUACAACUCAAAUCCAAGAUGCAGUGCCAACUACAUUGAAAGAAAGAACAGCUUAAUGAUAUAAGAAGCAGAGCAAACAAAGAAAGUUGCAUUAGAAUCUAACAUAACAAAAGGCAAACAAAACACUCGAGCACCAAUCGUCAAAACUUCAUAGCGUGGCAUAUUUUCUGGCACGGUGUUCCAGGACUGUAUAUAGUAGCUCGACACACAUGCACAAGCAGCUUUAAUACCGUGGCGCAAAUGAAUCUAAGUCAUCGCUAUACCAACACUCUCCUCCCUCCCGGUUUAAGUUUCAGGAACAAAUAUUGAGGCCAAAAAAACAAGCCACAUCCUCCCUGUCGUACUGCAGCUUAAGGAGCAGGAACAAAGGCCGAGCGCAAAAUGAGGCCAAGGAAACCAGGUACGUCCUCUCUGCUCUUGAUUUCAAGACCCUCAACGCUUCGCAACAGACUAGGGUCGUCCUGCAUAUUGCCAUGUCCCUCUCUUUCCUUGCAGCUCAGGGCAAACUUUGACGCUGUGGACCAUUCCUGAAGCCAUGGCCACAUCUUCCGAGGUAAAGUGACACUUUGGCCAUCCUCCAUGAUCUCCAGAAGCCUUGCUCGCAUUUGCCUGAAGCGGACAGCUUCACAGAAUAGGACUAUCAACUGAACCAGUGCCUUCCUUUGCCUUAUCAUUUGUCGAUUCAUUAAUCCAAUAUUUGGAUUGAAAUGAAGAAGCACAUGGUAGAGAUUAGUCAAUACUGGAGUUCCGAACACCAACUGCUCCCUGCAAACGCAACAUGAAAAGCACUGGUCACUACUAGGGAUGCACCUUCAGUUUUCCAGGAGUGAGUGUUGAGUAAUAAUAUUAUUUCCCUACAAAAAGAAAAAAAAGGAAAUUUGGUGCCAAUUGUAGAAUUAUGUUUUGACAAUCCUUCUGGGCACAUUAUAAUCAUUGGCAGAAUUGAAAUUAUUCACAAGGGUAUAGCCCACAAAAUUACACACAAAAUCAAGUGGAAGAAAAAGGGUUAGUAGCAAUCUAAACCAUCUGAAGAUAGAGUUUGUAAGCAAGUUGGUCCCAAAAAAUGCUUAGGUAAUCCAGAAACAUACUAAAAUGCUUCAGGACCAUAACCAAACAAAAUGUCUACCGCACUAAUUUAAAGAACAAUACUGCUGCUUCAAGAAAAAAAUAUUUGGCCAUCACCCUGAAGAUUAAAUUUGAUGUAAUUUUCAAGAAAGAAAAGAUAAGCUACCUCUGGUUUGGGCAAGAAUAAUCAAAUUUAUAGCAUACUUAGUAAUCAGUUGUAGUUAAUUGUUUAAUCCUAGAAAGAUCAUGGUAAUGACUAAUACAAAGAUGGGAUCGAAUGUAGUACCUGAUGAAGCCACGGGUCAGGUGAACGUAAGAUGACUGUAUGUCCAUACUCUCAACUGCAGGGUGGUCUGCUGGAAGUGGAAUAGGGCGGUCGGAGAACUUGAGCCACUUCCCAUCCCCCUUCUGUAUGGCCACAAGGUAGGAAUCGAUCUCGUCGAUUAGUAUGGAGACCGUCGGCCUGUCAGGGUACAGAAAGUUGACACGACGCCACCCUUCCGUCGCAGAAGUGAGGGGGACGUCGCGGAAGAGAUUGUCCUGCCCCGGGCCGGCACGAUCCAAAUCCCGCUGCGCCAUCCAAUUCAUCACGUGCUCGUACCCCUGGAGGGACGGAUCCAUUACGUCGAUAUCCACUGAAGGAACCCACUGUAUAUUGCAUAAAAAGACCAAAGAUUUAUCAUUUUCCGACCAAAUCGUUAGAGCAGAAUUAUAAUCGGUCGACCUGGUGUUACCAGCACAUGUUACACACAUAGACAUUACUCGACAUUGCAACUAGUAUUCCUAAUUCCGCCUCCACGGAGAGAACAGCACCAAAAACUCAAAAACAAAGAGUAUAUGACAAGAGCAGGUGUUAUUUUAGGGUUAGGGACAUAAGGAAAUCAUUUAUCCUAAAAAAUAGAAAUAUCCCGCACGCGCGCAGCGGCGCAGGCCGCUGGACUACUUCCCCAAGUAAUAAUCCAUCGAACUUUGAUUUUAAAAGGGGAAAAAACCACUUGAUUUUAAAAGGGGAAAAACCGCAUUGAUGCGAGCACGCCCGCAGUCCAAAUAUGGUUGAAAAUAACGAGCGAACUGGGGGAUGGGAGAGAAACUGGGUGCGUACCGCGAGCGGAUCCUGUGGCUCAGCCAUCGCGAUCAGCGAGGACGGCGGAGCGGGCACCAGGUGUCGAAUCCGUGCGGCGGCGCUGGCGGAGAGCAAGAGUGGGGCGGAGAACAACAGCGUGUGGACGACGCUGGUGGGGCGGUGGGGGUUUUUGUCUGUAAGCGGGAGGGCAGUGGGUGGGGAGUUGGGGUUUUGUCGCUAAGCGGGAGGCAGUGGUGGGGACUGGGGACGGUAUAGGUUUCGAGACCCUUCUCCUAUUCAUGCCGUAUCCCGGCGUCGAACACCUCCGCCUUCACGGCAAGUGACGGUAGAAUCCAACGGAAUGGCACGUACGGGAUGGAUUUAAAUUUUCAGUGGCACUGCGGGGAUGGAUUAAAUUUUGAUGGCAUGAAUUAAAUUUUUAAUGGCAUACAGGGAAUUUGCUAUAGGAUUUUCCAUGUCCCUUCGUCCAAAAAUAAAUCAUUAUAUACUUCUUUCAUAGCAAAAUAUUUAUCGCUGUUAAUUUUUUCGGAUACAUUUGACCAUUCAUUUUAUUUAAAAAUUUAUUGUAAAUGUACGAAAAGAUAAGUUGUACUUAAAAUACCUAUGAUGGUAAAGUAAGCCGCAAACAAAAAAAAUUUAAUGAUGCUUAAAUAAUUUUUGAAUAAGAUAAAUGGUCAAAUGUCAUGACUAAGUGUCAGUGGCAACUAUUUUGAUACGGAUAUUAUCAUUCAAAAUCUGUCAAAAAAAUAAGUUAUUACACCUAAUUUGGUACGUGCUUGUAUGCAUACAUGUAUGCAUCAGCCAACUGGCACCAAAAUAAAUAAGGUCAUAAGGUCAUUUUAACUCCUUGUUUUUUUAAUCCAUCCUACAAUUUCUUGGGUGAUUUGUUUUUUAGACAGAGGGAGUAUGCAUGUUUGUCUAAUUUGAUCAUAUCAUAUCACGAGACGAAUUAAUAUCAUUGUCAAAUUCCUUAUGAACUAUCCAAAUCCAACUAUUUAGGCAUGUUGUCUUUUCUGUUUCCUUAGCGUAAAUUUACGGCAUGCAAAGUAAUUGAGACUAGCAAAUGUAUUUUGACCAGUUAUCUUUAAGCUAAUUAAGUAGGCCCUCCUUGUGGUCCAAAGCGAAGGAUUGCACUUAUUUUAGGAUUUUUUUUUGAAGUGUUAGAAUUGCGGUUUUUAUUAGGUGAAUGGAGUUUUCACCCUUUGCAUUUCAGCGGUACGUAAGAAAAUUGGACAGAAACGUCUUUCUUCAUUGGAUUUUGAGUAAGUAACCGAGAUAGCACGGAAGAGAAUACUGGCACGUAAUGACGUAAGAGGGUGUUUGGCACACAGGGGUUAAAAUUUAGCCCCUAUCACAUCGGAUGUUUGGACACUAAUUAGGAGUAUUAAAUAUUGGUUAAUUGCAAAACUAAUUGCACAACCUCAAGCUAAAUCGCGAGACGAAUCUAUUAAGCCCAAUUAGUCCAUGAUUUGAUAAUGUGGUGCUACAGUAACCAUUCGCUAAUGAUGAAUUAAUUAGGUUUAAUAGAUUCGUCUCGCGAUUUAGCUUAGAAAUUCUGCUAUUAGUUUUGUAAUUAGCUCAUAUUUAGUCGUCCUAAUUAGCAUCCGAACGUCCGAUGUGACAGGACUAAAGUUUAGGUCCUAUCUCCCAAACACCCCCUAAGUAAACUCAAAACUUUAUAUAUCACAUAAGGGAAUGGUAUAAUAUUUAGUGGCAUACAAGAAACUUUUUUCAAAGAGAAAGAUUCAUGGUGCCAGGUUAUAGCGGUUGCUUUGGAUGAACCGAAGGAACUUUUUAUUUCUUGGCCAAGAGGGCAGUCCGAUCAAUUCCUGUGCCAGUGAAUAUGAACAGAAAAUGUAAAUGAAUGAAAUGAAAGUGGAUAAUCAAGAUGGCCACGAAAUAAAUGGACGAAGCCCAUAGGUACUAAAGUUUGGGUGUAUCAAACCCCCAGUACUUCUAAUCCGUAUGUAAACUUUCUUGCUUUCUUUUUUGUGUUGUCUUGUUCUUCACGGUGGCCUUGCAGCCGUUGGGGUCUUGGCAGCUGUGUUGCGGUGCGUGGGGGUGGCAGCUACCAGGGCAUGGUAAGAGCUAGCCAUAGCUGUCGAGACUAACACCGUACAUUGGUGCUUGAUCCAAUUCUAUCGGAGCAAGUUUAAUAACGCAGCUAGCAAGCAGGCUGCAAGGUUUCUCUCAGUUUUUUUCUAGCCCACUCAUAUAAUGGUUAGCUCUUUACCAUUAAUAUAUGGCCCACAAGUCAUUCUCACAAAGUUUCUUGGUUCCUGUGCCCAAGUCGGCUGUAAGCCUAUAGCCCGUUUCUCCUCUCUCACCUCUUCUCUCUCCUCCACGUCAACAUUCAGCCAGCUUACAGCCCCUUAUUAUACUUCCUCUCAACAACGUAACUCGAUCUGAGUGGAGAUUUGAACUAAUCGCCGUCAUAAUUAAAUCAACAACGUAACUCGAUCUGAGUGGAGAUUUGUUUCUUUUACACAUAUGCUUACUAGUAUGAAUUACUAGUACGAGUUACCAUGAUCAAUCAAUUAGACAAAGGAAAAGAAAAACUCACUCUCCAAAUGGAGCCUGCCUGGGGAUUGGGGAACUUUCGGCAGGGAUCAGACCAAACCAACAGAAAAGCUACACCUUAGUACACUCUUUUUGUUCGCAUCGGUUGGUUGGUUAGUGGGUGGUGGGGGUGCAGCACAACACCACAACACCACUUCCACAGAGACGUUCCACUUCCACAACACCACAGAGAGGAGAGAGAAAUGGAACGGGGGAUGCAGCACGCAGUCAGCAGCCCUCUCUCUCUCUCUUCAAUUUCAGUCUCGUCCAUCAUGGCAGCAGGCAGCUGCUGCUGAUCUGAUACCCGCUGGUUCUUGGGGCUCGUUUGGAUGGAAGCCCGGCCGACCAAAUUUUUGGCCGCGCCCAGCUCGCCUGCCCGCUGCGCAGUUCAUUUUCGCUGCCGUGCGUGGCUGAAUUCAGAGCGGCCGCCAAAAUUUGGCCGGCCAAUGGAUUGGCAGGGCACAUGAUAGUCUAUUCCAAACGCGCCCUUGGUCCGGAUGGAUGGGCCGGUUCCGGAGAAGAGAGUGGAGAGCGGCGGCGGCCAUGGCCAAGCUUCGGACAUGGGAGCAAAGCACAAAUUAGAUCACAGGAGAAGGCAUGCAGUUGGAUUGGCCAUUCGCCUGAUUGCUUCUACUCCUGCCUCGCUCCCUCGUCAGGGAGGGGCCUAGGGGUCAGUCCCGGGAAUCCUGGCCUGCAUUCUUUUCUGUCACACGACGGGCCCAGCCGCACAUCCCCAGGUAGGCUCCACGGUACACAGGCGCCCCCCUCUCUCUACCCCCAAUGCAAGCUGUGCUGCUGGACCAACACCAGUUCACCACCAUGGAUUGGGAUCGGAGGACCGAGCUCUGGUCGCUGCCUCGGUUCCUGUUCCACAGAAAAGCUCAAAAAGCAACCACCUCUCUCUCUCUCUCCUUUUCUUCUGUUGUUCGCAUUCGGGGGCUCAAAAGCAACCACAGAAAAGCUUUUUCAGCAGUUGAUGCAUGAAUCGCUUCAAGACGCUCAUAGACACGAACCAAGGCAUCACUACCAGCAUCAAGUGAUAAUUUGCAACAGCGGAAAGGCCGGAUAGAGAGGAGAAAUCAGAGAAGAAAGGGGUUCACACACACCGGCCAGAGAGACGAACAAUGUGGCAUGAUGCAUGUACACAGUGAACCUGAAGAUAGAGAUCAAGCGACUGAUUCCUUUCCUUUAGAGGCAUGCAGCGAGAUGAACACUAGUACGCCACAAACCACACGUCGUUGCUCAUGGGUGCGUGUGACUGUGAGAGAGAGAUGUGCAAGUGCAAAGGCUGCUGCCGUUGCCGAUGUGAACGUAUCAUCGAUUACUUCAAUUGAUAUGAUCAUGGUACAUGUUUCUUUUACACAUACUUAUGAGUUACCAUGAUCGAUCAGGGAAAAAACUACUUAAUCUCUCUCUGUGGGGCCUAUCGAUCUGGGAUCUUUGGGCAGGGACCAUGGGCAGGCAUCAAGGCCCUGCCAAAGAAGACAGGCAGUGGAUGUGCACGCGUCCAUCCGUAGUUGGGGCUGGGACCGUUCGCAACUUCGCAAUUCGGUGGGUGUGGGGGCCCAGGAAGACAGAGAACUGGAGCCCGGGGGGUACCGGAAGUCGGGAAGAGGGGAGGAGGAAAGCAGGAAAGGGUACGAAAGCGAAGCCUCUCUGUGCGCUGUGCAGAUGCACCUCUGAUUGACCGUGCUCCAGCUGGCCUUGCAUCUCCGAUCUCUCCUCAACAUCAAUCUGAAUGGAGCCGGUGGCCGGUGGGGAUGGAGAAGGCUGGACAAUCCAGGGCAGUGCAUCCUGCCGGUGCCGGAGAAGACGACACAAGAGAGGAACCGGGGAUUCGGUUUGAUGGACAUGGGAAGUACUAGUAAUCAACAGGGGUGGUCUAUGUUAAUUCAAGACACGGUGGGUGCAGCUACAAUUUUUAAAAAUUGAUUUCCAGGUUAACUAACCAAGUCAACAUCCGGUCAACUCCCCGUCCAAUUUUGCUGACCGCCGGCCUUCCCAAUGUAAACAUCACGUAACCAGAUGUACAAAGGCCUUGUCUUCCAAAUUUCCAACUUUAGCACUAUGCAAAAAGAUUCUCCAUCACAUCAAACUUUCGGUACCUGCAUGGAGUACUAAAUGUAGACGAAAUCAAAAACUAAUUGCACAGUUUUAUUGUACUUUGCGAGACGAAUCUUUUAAGCCUAAUUAGUCAAUGUUUGGAUAAUAAUUCAUAAAUACAAACGAAAUGCUAUAGUUGUGCAUUUAUGGUAAAAUGCAAACUUUGUCACUCCUAAAUUUCCAACUAAACAGGCCGAAAUUUGAGAUGAAUGAUGGCUCGGUUGGGACAUGGGAGGACCGCCGACCGAGGGAGGGAGACCACAGACGCCGCUGCAAAUUGGAAGGUGCCAAAUUACUGUGCUGGUACUGUAGCACACUAUAGCGUUUCGUUUGUAUUUGUGAAUUAUUGUCCAAACAUUGACUAAUUAGGUUCAAAAGAUUCGUCUCGCAAAGUACAACACAACUGUGCAAUUAGUUUUUAAUUUCAUCUAUAUUUAGUACUCCAUGCAUGUACCGUAAGUUUGAUGUGAUGGGGAAUCUUCUUUUUGCAUAGUGCCAAAGUUAGGAAUUGAGGGUGAAGUAAACAAGGCCUAGGACUCACGCGCGGCUCCUCGCUGCUCGUCAGUCGUCAGGGAGGGGGCGUCGGUCCGGUCAGUCCCGGCCGGGAAUCCUGCUCCUGCCCUGCCUGCCUUUCUUUUCUUCCGCCGAUCCCAACCAAUCCCCGGACGAGUACGACCAGCAGGCAGCACGCCCUCGCCUCCCUAGUCUCUGCUGUCUGCUCUCGCUGCUCAGCGCUCCUCCCUCCUCCACUUCCACUCCGCUCUUUUCUUUCUUGUCUUGUUCGCCUUCCUGCGCGGUGCUAGACUGCUAGCCUGGUCAUCAGUUCAGUGCAGCAGCAACACCACCCCCCACCAUGCUCCAGCAGCCAGACAAGCAUGCCAUGGAGCGUUUGUUUUUUGCAGGUCGGGAAGCAACAAGGAGAUGAUGAUGAUGGCUCUGGCGAGUGGUGGAGUGGGCCGUUGCGUCUGUUAUGGGCCAUGAUCCGGUUGGGCCUGAGGCCGGCCAUUCAUCUAGUUAGUGCAGCAAAAUCUGGAAAUGCCAUGUACCCUGGCUGGUGUGUGCUUGCAUGAGUCAGUAGGCAUUGAUGAAGCUUUGUCUGAAUCCCUUCUGUUCUAUCUCGAGUUCUUGCUGCGUUCUUCCGCAAAUUCCUCCAGAUUCUGCUAUCUUUUCCUUCUCAGCUAUCCAGGUCCAUAAAUAUAAACAUCCGACAACAGGGUACACUGAACCCAAAUCAAAUAAUGGAAAGCAGUACCGGGAAUCAUGUCUGAAGAAGAUUGUGCAUUGACAUGCCCACCUCUGAAUACGCCCCACACCUCUGAAUAGCUUCCCCAGUCGACUGGAAAAAUAAAUAUAUAUAGACAAACAUUUACAAAUCCUCUGGCUCCUUCUUAUGAGACAUCAUCAUGCCGAGACGAGAUUCAACACGGUAGUAAUCGUUUCUACACACGGUAGUAAUCUCAAGUGUUCCUUGAAGCCCAUGAUAUCGCCUUCCCACCUGGUCACCGCCUGGUUCUCACACACCCAGAUCUCACGAGCAACCUGGUUGAUCAGCCUGAAGUCAUGGCUCACCAGGACCAGACCGCCAUCCCACUCGUUCAGCGCCUCCGCUAGGGAGCCGAUGGUCUCGAUAUCAUCAAGAUGGUUCGUCGGCUCGUCCAGCAGCAGCAGCUGUGGCAGCCUGUAUGCCAGCCACGCAAAGAUCACGCGGCUCCUCUGCCCGUCCGACAGAUUCCUCAUCGGCAUCACCUGAGCCUUCCCCGACAGCCCGAACUUACCAACCGCAACUCUCAUCCUCUCUUCCUCGUUCCUAGGGUAUUCCUUCAGCAUGUACUGCAGGGCCGACAUGUCCAGGUCCAGCUUCUCCGCCAGAUGCUGAUGGAACUGCGCCAUGCGCAGGUGAUUGUGCUGCCUCACCAUACCAUCCAGUGGAGCCACCUCACCUGCCAUCAGCUUCAGAAGGGUGCUCUUCCCUGCCCCAUUGGGACCAACCAACGCAAUUCUAGAGUCCAGGUCGACACCUAAGUCAAGCUUCUUGUAUAACAGAUUAUGCGGUGUGUACCCAAACGUGACCUCGACAAACUGCAGCACUGGCGGUGGAAGCUUGCCAACAUUUGUGAAGCGGAACAACACCAGUAUCUUGUCCCUAACAACCUUCUCCGUGAGCCCACCACGCUCCAUCUUUGCGAGAGUCUUCUCCUUUGCUAUAGGAUUUUCCAUGUCCCUUCGUCCAAAAAUAAAUCAUUAUAUACUUCUUUCAUAGCAAAAUAUUUAUCGCUGUUAAUUUUUUCGGAUACAUUUGACCAUUCAUUUUAUUUAAAAAUUUAUUGUAAAUGUACGAAAAGAUAAGUUGUACUUAAAAUACCUAUGAUGGUAAAGUAAGCCGCAAACAAAAAAAAUUAAUGAUGCUUAAAUAAUUUUUGAAUAAGAUAAAUGGUCAAAUGUCAUGACUAAGUGUCAGUGGCAACUAUUUUGAUACGGAUAUUAUCAUUCAAAAUCUGUCAAAAAAAUAAGUUAUUACACCUAAUUUGGUACGUGCUUGUAUGCAUACAUGUAUGCAUCAGCCAACUGGCACCAAAAUAAAUAAGGUCAUAAGGUCAUUUUAACUCCUUGUUUUUUUAAUCCAUCCUACAAUUUCUUGGGUGAUUUGUUUUUUAGACAGAGGGAGUAUGCAUGUUUGUCUAAUUUGAUCAUAUCAUAUCACGAGACGAAUUAAUAUCAUUGUCAAAUUCCUUAUGAACUAUCCAAAUCCAACUAUUUAGGCAUGUUGUCUUUUCUUUUUCCUUAGCGUAAAUUUACGGCAUGCAAAGUAAUUGAGACUAGCAAAUGUAUUUUGACCAGUUAUCUUUAAGCUAAUUAAGUAGGCCCUCCUUGUGGUCCAAAGCGAAGGAUUGCACUUAUUUUAGGAUUUUUUUUGAAGUGUUAGAAUUGCGGUUUUUAUUAGGUGAAUGGAGUUUUCACCCUUUGCAUUUCAGCGGUACGUAAGAAAAUUGGACAGAAACGUCUUUCUUCAUUGGAUUUUGAGUAAGUAACCGAGAUAGCACGGAAGAGAAUACUGGCACGUAAUGACGUAAGAGGGUGUUUGGCACACAGGGGUUAAAAUUUAGCCCCUAUCACAUCGGAUGUUUGGACACUAAUUAGGAGUAUUAAAUAUUGGUUAAUUGCAAAACUAAUUGCACAACCCCAAGCUAAAUCGCGAGACGAAUCUAUUAAGCCCAAUUAGUCCAUGAUUUGAUAAUGUGGUGCUACAGUAACCAUUCGCUAAUGAUGAAUUAAUUAGGUUUAAUAGAUUCGUCUCGCGAUUUAGCUUAGAAAUUCUGCUAUUAGUUUUGUAAUUAGCUCAUAUUUAGUCAUCCUAAUUAGCAUCCGAACGUCCGAUGUGACAGGACUAAAGUUUAGGUCCUAUCUCCCAAACACCCCCUAAGUAAACUCAAAACUUUAUAUAUCACAUAAGGGAAUGGUAUAAUAUUUAGUGGCAUACAAGAAACUUUUUUCAAAGAGAAAGAUUCAUGGUGCCAGGUUAUAGCGGUUGCUUUGGAUGAACCGAAGGAAAUUUUUAUUUCUUGGCCAAGAGGGCAGUCCGAUCAAUUCCUGUGCCAGUGAAUAUGAACAGAAAAUGUAAAUGAAUGAAAUGAAAGUGGAUAAUCAAGAUGGCCACGAAAUAAAUGGACGAAGCCCAAGUUAGGAACAGAAAAUGUAAAUGAAUGAAACAAAAGUGGUGAAGAGGGUAAAUAAUCAAGAUGGCCACGAAACCAGUGUACCGAGGGGCUCAUGUUGAACAUGGCAGCUUGACGAAGCCCAACAGAGCAGGUGGUAAAUAUCUUAUUUUCUCACGAAAUGUAAUAGAGAGUAACCAGCAGGUGGCAGAAAUGUUCAUCGCACACACUCAUCAGUUGGAUGAAUUAUACCCUCCGUCCUCAAAUAUAUGAUGUUCAGGACAAGCCAAUUAGUCCAUUUUUGAACUAAUUUGUUUGUACUAAACUUCAUAUAUUUAUGGAUGGAGGUAGUAGUUGUUUAUGUAACAUAUAAAUCAAAAUGGACACUGACUCGACAAAGAAAUAGAUAUAAACAGGGCUAGAGGUUUACAUAAAUUAAAGCUGCAUGGCAGCAUAACCACAACAAGUCCUGACUACAAAACAAGUACAUGAUAACUUAAACCACCUGAAGGAAGCAACACCAGUCUGCCAGGUAAUAGCAUCACCAAGUCAGGGGCGAGCCAUGUCGUGGUACGAUGACACACAGUUCUGAAGUAAUCUAAAGAAGAACAGACCAUGCAACCACCAUGUGCAGCUCGAGGAUCCAAUGUGAAAAUAGCCUUCAUCUCUCCGGGCUGACUUAGCUACAAAACCAAACUUCUUCUCAAGCUUAGUGCUGCUCUCACCAGCGUCACCUAGCUGUUCAGCCUUGAUGCCAAGGAUCAGUUCAGCCCUCUCCUCCACGACGACUACUCGGCGCUGCAGUGUGACCUGCCCAUCCUCGUUGACGACCACCUCCUUGCCUCUGGUGUCCAGCAGCACUACAUCCUCACCAAUGCUCGUGUUGUAGGCAGUGAGGCCUGCACUAAAGUUGCCUGAUCCCUUUGUCCAAAGAAAUCCAAGCAUAAAAUCUUGUCAUCUUCAGACAAUGAACUCCCUUUGUCCUUCACUUUCAGGUCAAUCUCAAAAAUAGGCUCAUCCCACAGCAUGAUAGCUCGGCUAGGACAUGUAAGUUGCAAAAGAGAAUCCUGCAUACAGUGGCACACAAAUUAAAGGUCAGCAAAUUUCAAUGGCCUUUAGGAACAUCAUCACUAAAGGUGCAUCAGCAGCCAGACAAAUUAAAGGCCCGCAAAUUUCAAUUGCCUUUGGGAACACCAUCACUAAAGGUGAAUCAGCAGCCAGCAAUUUAUUUCACCAGUGAUGCACAUACAAAACCACUUAAUAGCAUUCUCUAAAAUGAAGAUUUAAGGAUCAGGAAUCUGCUCACCUACUGAAAUCUUGCAUGUCAGGGCCAGCCAACCAAGAACUGAAGUGGAUACCAACUAUAAAAACUACAUUUGAUAUACUUUUAAAAAUAUAACCAAGUUUUACUAUUUACGUUUUAAGAGCCAGCAGCAACAUGCAUAAAGUAUCUCUGAUGGAAAGGUUCUGAUCCUAAUUCAUAGUAUCAACAUGUAUAAAUAUUUCUUCCGAAUGCUAGCUUGGAGCUAAACGCCAUAAAAAUCAGCUGAUAUUACCAGUACUACCAAGCAGAUUACACCAUAUACAUGCAUUGAGAUGCUUAUAGUAGAUUAAAUGGGCGAUGGAAUAGGACAAAAGUUGAAACACAGAUGUUUGAACAUGCCUGAGAGGUGAGGGUCUGGCAAUUAUCUCUGCCUCGACUGAAGAGGUAGUUGCGCUUCCAGUCUAGGGAAUCGCGCACAACGACAAUGCCAUAGACAUCUAGUGGCCAUUGGAGGUCGUUGGUGAUCUGAGUCACCUUGACGAAGAAGACCUCCAUGGUAUCACCAGAACCACAUCCAGCAGUUACUACUGGCAGCACCGGUAUGUCCGUGUAGCGCAUGGGAGGGUACUGAGCUGAAAAAGGAAGGGGGUUAUUUGUUAGUCCAGUCAUCUAUCCCUUGACAUCACAAUUGAUUAAUGAUGAAGCAAACAACUGCUAUGUGUAAGGAAAAACUGUUACUCGUAGCUGGAUAUGAUAAAAUGGCGUGGAAAGGGGAUUUUUUUUACUAUAAACAUUUGUCAAGCAAUGUAAUUAGGAACAAAUAUAUGGGGAAAUCACAUAGAUCUCAAGCCAAUAUCGGAUUGAAACGGGGUUCAUAUUAACAUUUAAUAUUAUCUUUUAUUCUUUCUAAAAUAGAAUCAGUAGGUCACAUCAUGACGUUUUUUCUAACCUACACCCCGUCUGGCUAGACAGACCUCCUACCAUUGAUCUCAAGCACCAGUCCCCAGCAAGUUCACGCGUCUAAUCAUGCCUCCUUGAUAUAAGAAAAGAAACAAAUGCUACGGAUUUGAAAUUACGGUUUUUGAGUGGAAUCCUAAUCCGUUGGCCACGACUGAAGAAAGCUCCAACAAGAUGAUCAAGAUGAGGAAAAGCUGAUCAAGACGAGGAAAAGCAAGAGAGAUGUGCAGAUGAAUACGUACUCUCGGCCUCAAAGGGGAUGGCGCCGUUUCUGCCGAACAUCGAGAGCCAACUCUUGCGGUGCAACUCAAAGCAACCCUCCGGCCCCAGCUCCUCCUCCUCCUCCUCCUCCUCAUCCGUCUCCAUAGCGUUGUGGUGGUCGCCGUUGUUGGCCUCGCGCGGCCUUUUAGCAUCGCCGCCCUGAAGCACUUGACCCGCAGCCUUCUCCAGAUCUAGAUCAGACCUCUUGUGGCCGUGGCCGUGGCCGUGGCCGUUCUCACCCAGCUUCGCCUCCAGAUCCAGAUCAGACCUCUUGUGGCCGUGGCCGUUCUCACCCAGCUUCGCCUCUAGAUCCAGAUCAGACAUCUUGUGGCCGUGGCCGUUCUCACCCAGCUCCGCCUCCAGAUCCAGAUCAGACCUCUUGUGGCCGUGGCCGUUCUCACCCAGCUUCGCCUCCGGAUCCAUCGCCUCCGUAUUCCGCUACCGAGAAGGUUAGGGUUUUUGCCCCGCCGUCGAAGAGAAGGCUAGCGAGAUGCCUCUAGAUCUCGGAUUGGUGUUGUGUUGUGUUGGGACGGCCGGGGUGGGUGAGUGAUCACCUUGUUGACUGAUGAGGUGAGAGAGGCCCGCGGGCUGCUUGGAUCAGUAAAGGGCCUGUACAUUUCUCCCGGCCCGUCUUGGAUGACACGGGGAUGGCCCAAAUCUGGAGGUGGAUGAUUAGGGCCCUGUUUGAGUUACGUGGCAGUUUUUCAGCGUGAAAAACUGGAAGCUCAAAUAAACAACGAUAUUCUCAUGUAGUUUCAGAAAAACUGGAAGUCUAAAAAAGUUGAGUUUAUAUGGAAAGAUGGAAAGCUCAAUUUUGUGCGCUUUUCGUAGCUUUUUUCUUAGAAAGCUAACUAAAUCUUCUACAAGCUAAUGUUAGCUUUUUUAGAAGCAAAAGGCCAGCAACAGCUUUUCAGAAAAGCUCAAAAUCUGCAACUCAAAGAAAUAGGUCCUAGAUUUUCAAAGAGCUAGCCCGUUUCGAUUUCUUGUCACACGCAUUAGUAAGGCCUAGGUGACGGGGGACUCAGGUAAAGUACCAAAGUACCGCCACGAUCAGAUGGACCUCCAGGCGGGUUGCGGGCUACUGCUGCUACACCAAACCGGUAUUCCUAUAUAGCUUCCGGAAGCCCAUAUAUUACGUGGCUUCCGAUAUUAUCAUGCAAAUAGUUUCAUCCGUUAGAUAUGCCAACUCUCGCCAACCCUACCCCUCUCUCUCUCUCACCCGACGCCGCUGCCCCGCGAACGCCGCCAUCAUCGCACCGUCCGCCUUGCCGCCGGCACAGCAUGCCCUGCCACCGUCCGCGGCCGCCGGUCUCGACCAGGACGCCGCUGCCGCUACUGGAUGCCGUCGCUGGAGCCAGACGCUGAUGUGACGGGUUCCGUACCAGGGGUACCUUCAGGGAGGAAGACAAACGCCAUCAGGAGCUAAAAAGGCCAAACAGCCCAGCAAGAUGUUGACGAUCGUUAAGUACAAAAAUGACUCUCAAUAUAUUUAAAAAUAAAGUAGGAUUGGCAUUUUUCACACAUAUAUUUGGUUUCAAAAUAAUGUAGUUCCACUUGUCCUUGGAGAAUAUUUGGUUGCAGGUGAAUAAAGCACAAAAUAAAGGAAAACCACCCUCUAUGGAUCCAAGAAGCAUGCUUCCGACAAAUGAGAGCCGCCACAUGUGCAUCCCAUGGAUUGAAGGGCCCACAAACUACCAAAACCGCCUCAAUCCACUGGAUAAUGCACACAACUGUCAUAGGGGUCCACAUGUCAGUCUCCCACAUAAAGACGGUGGAGAAAGGCGCCACAUGGGGGUCGGCCGAACCGCCCUUGUGCCCUUUCAUCUCCACCUUCCAUGUGGCAGCCUGUGGUGAUGUCCUAAAGGCGGCGGUAGGAGAUUCCCUGAAGAUUCCUUCAGAGAUGCUGCCUCUUGGUGCUUAUAUAUAUGAGGGGAGGGGCUCCAUUUAGAGACACACACACAACUAGUGAUUCACUCUCUUCCUCUUAGUUUCCAAGUUAGUGGAGUUAGGCUAGAGUAGCUCUGCUUCAGGUUCUAGGUCUCCUUGGAGUCUAGGGUAUGGCUCUUGUAUCUUUUAUUCCUAGGUUGACUUUAUUCUACUUCAAAGAUAUAUAUUCUUUAUAUAGUGUUGUGCUUGGUUCUCAUAUGCAUGAGUUGCUUAUGUGUUCGUGCCAUGUUCAUGUGCUAGGCUUAUACGCUCGUAUGUUAGUCGUAUACCCUUGCUCUUAUAGCAUAUGAUCACGUGCUCUUAUAUGUGUUUAUAGACCAUACCAUAGUUUAUAUCUUGUGUGCUUAUAUACCUUGUAUAGCGUCGAUGUGCUAUGCUACGGCAUCAGUUCAAUGGCCAUUUCUACGGUAGCUUUAGCCUUCUAUACGAUAGCUCGAGGUGUCUGGAGUGUUGUUAACAAUGCAAGCAUGGUGCUUAGGUUGCAUAACUUCAUUGCUUAUGAGUUUGCCCCACAGAUAGUUAGAGGUAGGCCGCAGGUGGUGACAGCCUUGCCGGUCCUUUGUACUCCUCCACGUUCGGGUACGCUGUAGGAGUUCGUAAAUCAAUAGUAACUUCACAGGGCGUAACCAGUGCGGGAACUAUCUCCUCGCGUGCGCCUGGGUGAUAGACUGAUAGUCUAUACAGUGUGUAUGUAUGGUUUGCUUGUAUAAUCUGUGCAUUUAUAUAGGAAGUACAUAUGAACAUAGAGCUAACUCUUAGUCCUUCUCCUUAGCUUUGUUAUCUUGAGAUGAAUCAUGUGUGUGUCACACUAUCUAUUUAUCUAUCUUACCCCUACCUUGAGUAUUGACACUAGCCAUACAUGAUAUACUCGUAUGCAAUAGUAAACUCUUUUGACCUACCCGCCUUCCUUUGGGAAAUACGAUACCCUUGGGAAUACUCAUAGGUGAAAUGCUACAACGGUAUAUCGGUGUGCCUGCGUAUUUAUUUAUGAAUGUUAAUAAAUACCAACACAAAGCCAAGUGCAUGCUAGAUCGGGCCAGAUCACGACGUGGCCCACCUCCCGACCACCCCAAGUCUGGAGUGAAGACCACGGCCACCGGACACCGGAGCCACACAGGUUGGAGAAGGGCCCGCGUAGGUCCCACAGCACCUCGCCCGCUCGCCACCGUUGACACGGGAGGAUCGUUGACACGGGAGGAUCGGUUCCGUGUAGAUGAGCAUUCAAUGCAGGGCAUGGCCACACUGGCUGUCCCACGCCGGUGACAAGACUCGGCUGAAGGAACCGAUCUUUGGCCAAGGGGUCCAAGGGUGAGGCUACACCCCUCAGACCGCCCAGAACGCUUGUCAGGGGAAGGUACGCGCGAACGUACGAGCCCACGCGCCCCAAUGUCAUCACCACCCCUGUCAGGGCGACUCGUCAAGGUCAAGGAUCUGACCCAGCGCUAGAUCCCGUACGACCCUAAGGGGGGUGGGACCUAGCGCUAGGUGACGGUGUGAGAUGGCCAUGAGUCACCGAGGAGGUUGGGGAAAGCCGGAACAGGCGGCAUGCCCCCGCCCUCGCCUCGAGCUCAGGCCUAUCCGCUCAUCACCAGUACGACUGAUAGCCAUGACUCCCGUCCCGUUCAUUGCCACGGGGUUGGCAGACGAGAUGGGAGCACGCCACAGGCCAGGCCUCGCGUAGGCGGCCCACGCCGCACAGGAGUCGCCGUACAAGGCGUGCGAAGCCCGCUGCCAGGCUAGGAGGAUAGGACAAGGAAGACCCCGACCACGGCACCGCCCCUAACCUCUAAGUCGGGGACCCCUCCAUUUCUAAAAAACAUUGUUGCUCGGUCCCUGGUCUAUAUAAAGGGAACCGGGCCUUCUUCUCACUCUCUCGCACUCACUCGCACAACACACAUUCCCACACCGCACGAACACCUGCUUGCAAGCACCCCGUUGUAAGCCCUGUGCACACGAUCCAAGGAACAAGACUCCUACCGAAACUGGACGUAAGGACAUUCCCGAACCAGUAUAAUUCUCCGCCCCUCGUGUGCUAGCCAUCGGAAGUGAGGAGAGCGCGACGUACAUUCACUAGUCGGUGGUACGAAACACUGGCACGAUGCAAUCCAUUUUUUUUUCAAAAUGUUGAUCUCACAUUUGACUAAUGUUGAAUCAAUUCGCUAAAAAUAUUGAAAUAAUUUUGGGAAAAUGUUGAAGGUAGAAUUUUUUAAAUGUUGAUCUAGCUUUCCAAAAUUGUUGAAUCUGCAAUUUUCGAUAUGUUGAUCUAUUAUUUGGAAAAUAUUGAAAUCUUUGAAAGGUUGAAUCCGUAUAGGGACGGAGCCAGAUCUCUUUGUUGACGUCAGCUGACAUCGAUGAUUUCCUACAAAAUCAGUAGGAAAUCACUCUUCCACGCUGUUUGUUCAUGGAGCUGACACACAACGUGUAAUAGAGCUGAACACCGGUAGCUCUGAUCUCUAAUUAGACCUAAUGAACUUUUAAAACCAUGUUGCUUAUCUAGCUGUACAGGAGCCCCCACACCAAACAGACCAAGACCAAAGUACUGCGGCGACCACAUGGAGCUCGUCGCCAUCGGAACACGAGUUGCUGGAGCUCCUGCAAAAACCUUUUGAAAAAACACGUGAGACCACGGAACACUGGUACGGACUACGGACUACUGGCCAACCACUGGAUGAAGCAUGGAUUUUUUUUUUCUCACUGCUAUGCAUGUUUCUGCUGUUCUUUUAUUUAUAUUUUUAUUUUCGGAAAACAAGUGCACCGUGUUUUAGAUACGAACCCACUAGUGCAUUGCCUGAGCUCGUGCUUCAACAUUUGGCCAGCCUGCACUUGCAAUAUACUCCCAGGUUCUAAGAUUAUUUUACCUUAUCAAACUCGUAUAGCUUUGACCAAAUUUAUUGAAAAAUAUACCAACAUACAAUAUCAAAUAAAUGCAUUAUAAAAAAUAUAUUCCAUGGUUUUUCUAAUGAAACUAGUUCGAUAGCGUAGAUAUUUAUGUAUUUUUACAAACUUUGUUAAAAUUAAAGAAAUUUGGCUUAUGACAAAACUAAAACGACUUUAAAUUUGGAAGGGAAGGGGUAGGCUUAACCACUUUUGGUCGGAUCUUUCAAUACCUAACCAACCUGCCAUAGUGCCAUUUGACCAAAUCUGCCCUAUAUGCAUGGAGAGGAAACCUCAGUCAUCAACUUGUCUGAAAGCUAGAAAACAGCAGUACCCGUGGACUCCAUCCAUUUGAUGUGCAUCUGUCCGCUACUUUCGUCUCUCCUGGCUUCCCUCUCGUCGGUACCCUCCUUGCGCGGCGUCGCCCCUGCUAGGAAACAACCCCCCCCCCCCCCCCCCCCCCCCCCCCCCCCAGCCGGCGCGCAGGAGCAGUGGCAAAUGGCAAGAGGACGCGCGCGCCACGGGGAGGAGCUCAUGGCGCGCGCCUCGGUUCGGCUCGGAUGGGACCAAUCAGCCCGCCGUCCCCGGCGGCGUGAGGCACGGGCCGUGCGCCCCCUCGCGGACGUCCUCGCUAGCGACGCCGUCAGUCGCCGAGACGCUGCGUGGGGACCAGCGGUGGGCGGAGUACAUCCUGAGGAGGUGCCGGUGAACUGGGGCUAGGAGAUCGGCACGAUCUCAACUACGUGGUGACGGCGAGCCUCGGCACGCCGGGCGUGGCGCAGAUGCUGGAGGUGGACACCGGCAGCGACCUGUCGUGUGUGCAGUGCAAGCCGGGCGCGCGCGGCGUCGUCGUGCUUCAGAAAGAAGGACCCGCUCUUCGACCCUUUCCCAGUCCUCGUCGUACGCCGCCGUGCUGUGCGGCGGGUCCGCGUGCUCGGGGCUGGGCAUCUACGCGUCCGGGUGCUUGGCGGCGCAGACGCGCGCGCAGUGCGGGUACGUGGUCAGCUACGGCGACGGGCCCAACACAACGGGCGUGUACAGUACAGCUUCGACACGCUGACGCUGAUGGCGACGGACGCGGUGGCGCGGUGCUCGGAUUCCUCUUCGGGUGCGGCCACGCGCAGAGCGGUCUGUUCACCGGCAUCGAUGGGCUCCUCGGCCUCGGCCGCCUGCCGGUGUCGCUGGUGGGGCAGGCGGCGGGCGCGUACGGCGGGGCCUUCUCCUACUGCUUCCCGACGAAGCCGUCCACCUUGGGGUACCUGACGCUGGGCGGCGGUGCGAAUGCCGCGGCGCCGGGGGUUCGCGACGACGCAGCUGCAGCGCGUGACUCCACGGUGAUCCGUCCCUGCUGCUCUGCUAUACUGUAUGGGUCUCAGUUCUUCAGGUCAAAUAUCUCCUGUCAUCUUUCCUACUGCCUCUCGUUUCUCUUUUGCUAUCUCUGAUUUUCCCCAAAUUGAGUUCAUUCAUGGUCUAGCACCAAUUGCUGUACUUGGAUUCACAAAUAAGUUCUCUAAUCACUAACCCCACAAACCCCUUUUCUUCCCCCAACAUUUUAACGCUGUUCUGUUCUUGUUUGGUUUACGAUGGUUCACUGAAAUUUUAGCGCUGCAUACUUGAAAUUGAUGUGUGGUACAGCUGAUCUGAUGUUGAUAGACUCAUUAGGGAUCAUCUAGGUGUGGAUCUUCGGGUGAUUUCGGUUUAGCAUUGUAUAAACUUGAGAAUCUAGGGAGGGAGAGAGAGAGAGAGAGAGAGAGGAGUAAACACCCAUACCUUCGGGCUUGGCAGGAGAGGUAGAGUAGGAAAAAGUAACCGUGGGAGCAGCGAUGCAGUACGGGCCGGUAGAGUCCAGAGGACGGCGACACGGCCGGCGGUGCUUCCCGUCACUGCAGCGUGCCCAUGAUCGGAGGGGCCUUCUAGGGUUGUUUGGUGGGUUAGUGGCGGUGGUCAAAUUCGUGUGUUGUGCCUCGGCCCCGACCUUUCUCCUUUUAUAGCGUUGUGUGACAGGGGUCCGCCGACCAGUGGUGGGUUGAGCGUCCCCGAUCAGGACGCGGUCAAGGGGUCCGACUCAAUCGUUGGAUUGAUUCGGAUGAGAUCAAUCCUAACAGAUGUAUGUAUUUGUUUUUAAUCAGUUACCAUCUUAUCACUACGUGUUAGCUAGCUCAUACUCUGUGUGAUGGCUCCUUAAAGAAAUGGAGGAUCAUCUAAUAUACUUUGGAACAAUGAAUGAGUAUUUGUCCCAAUUGAUUCCUUAUCAUGGAAUCUGAGUAUUGCUCUCUCUAAUUGCCAGACUAAUUUCUUUGAUACGCUUUUACUAUGUUUAUAGUUAAAGUAGGAGAGAAAGAACUUAACUAUGCAUGUCUGAAAUGCUGUAUCUCUCUUGAUUGAUUUGCUUAACUGUCCGCUACUGGAGAACAGUAGCUGCUUUUUUAUUCCAAAAUCCAAACCACAGGCACAUGUUUUUAAGGUUAUCUUAUUCAUAUCAUGAACCUACAUUAGUCAUGAACCAAAUGCAUUAUCCUAUUUUUAUUCUUAGUUGAACUCUGGUAUUCUGAACCAGAUGCUUCAGGAGUCAUAAGGGACCUUUUUGUUCCUGAACUUAAAAGGAAAUGGAGCUACAGGUCUUGCUAUCUCAUUACUUGGUGUUAUGGUGAUGCCGUAAGCUUCUUGAUUAUAUUUUUGUUCCCAUCCAUUUGAUUUUGAACACAAAACUAUUUUUCCAUUUAUCUUUCAUAUAAAUUGUAGGCAUAAUCUUUUUCUGUACUCAGCAUUAGUGGUAUCAAGAAAAAUGCAGGUCCAUUCAUGGGAUUAAAUUAACCUCUAAACCCUUCUUUCAGCUAUUAUUGAUAUGACAUCCCAUAUGUGCCAAAUUCCUCCAACCCUGCUGCUAUUGUGCCACACUAGAGUUGAGUCGGUCCGAUUUGUUGAGAAGAUAUCUAAUGCUAAUUUCAAGUAUGAAAACGCAAAAGCCUUAAUAUGAAAUUUGCUCCCAACAGUUCAGUUUCUUGCAUGAGGCAUGUAGUUUCUCUGAAAUUGAUAGUGCAUUUGCUCUUAUGGUACCUUUCCUCGUCAACAUAUCUAUCAUAUCAGUUAGUGGUGUUGUAUGUGGUUUAGGUAGUUUUUGAACGCUGAAGAUCAGGCAAACUUGAUCUGAACCAGGCUUCAUUUUUAUUAAAAUUGGUAAAUUUUGUCUUCAUAUUGUUGUACAGCACUUAUUAGAUGGAUUGUUUUGAGCUUUGCCUCAUUUGACUAAUAGGAAAGCAGAAACUAUAAACACCAACUCCUCAUGGACAAAAACAUUUCUGAUGCACCAACUAGGUAGAUAUGCAUCAGUUGUCAGAUGUUUUCUGUCAAGUCUAAUUUCUUUUGUAUACGGGUUUCUGGAACAUUAUCUCUUUUCUUGUGCUAGUCCUCGCUGAGUUACACAGUUUUCUACCACCGGCUAUUUAACCUAGUCUAACCCACUCAUAUCUAGCAGUAUGGCACUAAAGCCUGUGCUGCUGCUAGCACUGCUAGCACGCACGCACACCACUUUUGGCCCAAGUGGCCCGGCCCAUGGGCUGUUACACCUGAUUCAUAUCUUAGCCGUUUGUAUUCAAUUUUACCCAGUUGAUCUUGCAUGUUGACGAUUUUUAUUGAGGUAAUUCUUGAUCCCCAUGUUUCCCAAAUACCUAAACCAUGAAUGACUGCACACUCUAAUUAUCCUUAUAGAAGAAGGAUCCUGAUAUUUUUUUUCUUAUGAUGUCAGUGACCACUUAAUCUGAAUCUUCGGCAUUAGCAAACAAUAUUCAUAUUCAUCAGUUAAUGGAUGCUAUUAGAUAUUGCAGUCAGAAUGGAGUCUAUCACAAGGAACUCCAGGUACUCGCUGGCUUAUCCUCUCAUCUUUUGGCACUUUUCACCUUCGGAUUUAAGCUGCUGUCUUUUUUUUUUUGCUUUAUGUUUUUAGAGGAUAGCAAUUUGUAGCACAUGGUAAAUUGCUCGCCUUUUCUACUACUGAGAAAAUUUACCAAAUACUUCUAUCUAUGCCUACAAGUAUGCAAUCAGUGCAUCAGGUACUUAUGAUGGAGGAAUGUCAGUGUGCCUAUUUUUUUUUAUUAUGCGUUGUUCGUGUUCGGCAAUUUAUGUGUCAUCUAUCCAAGAACAAACAUUUGUUGGACAAUUCGCGUUUACAAAACAAUGGGUUUGGAAGUUCAGUUUACUAGGAUAAGAGAUUAUAGAGUGGGUGAUGGGGCUUAACAGUUAGAAUGUGCCUUCACCCUGUUAGCCCCAGUACAGGUUAGCAGAUUCAAUAAACCCUCAAGAAUAUCAUUCUUGAGGGUUUAUUCCAUAGCAGUGGAUUUUGUCAACUAGAGCCCUGCUGUUGGAGCAUCAGUACAUAAAGAGUCUAUUCUGUAUUUAUUGUGUUUAACUUUCGAAAUGCUUACCUGUAGGUAGUUCGGGAAUUCGGAUCAUUCAACAACUACUAUUGGAGCUUUGUGAACCACAAGCCCAUCACAAACUGUUUCUUCUAUGCUCGCCAAAUAUCUACAAAGACUCCGAAAGUUGAAGCUAUAAGCAAGGACCUGAUGCGCUGAGGGUUCCAGUGUGUUGGCCCCACAACAAUCUACUCCUUCUGCCCUUCAUGCAGGUUGGGAUCGUUUACAACCAUUUAUGAUAUGAUGUUGCUUCAGGUUAUUUUAAGGCCUACAGCCAACAUCCCAACACAGGCCCAAUGAAAAAUAAUGGAGAACUAACAGAACCAGCAUAGCCCGAUAGAAGGUUGAGCGGUCUUCUGAAGAUUCAAAUAGCAUGUAGACGCCGGAGGUGUAACUUGCUGAAGUCAGCCUGAAUUAUUGUUUUUAUAUGUGAUAGUCAUGGCAGUUUGACAGUGCAUCAGGAUGCUAUUGAGAUUGGGCGGCUUUGUGGUGUGGUGUGGUGUGCUUUCUGCUUUCUCACAUGUAUAAUAUUGGUAUUGCAGAAUGCAGUUUGAUGUAAACCGACUCCUGUUGCGUUUUUUUUUUCAAAAUGUACGCUGCCUGGUGUGUAUGUACAAAUGAUCAUGCAGUAUACAAUGUUCUAGCAGUUCGCCGUUUCAUGGCUGACCUUGCAUCUGAUUACCUAUCGCAAGUUUCUUUAUAACAAAUUGUGUGCACCGAAUUUCCCAAUUGUGUGCACCUAAUUGAGGAAACAUGAUGAUAAAAAUACAAUCCCGGCAGGAAAAAAUUACAUUACAAACUAGACCGGGAAAAUGGCUCUAGUAGUAGUAAUACUGUGCUAAGGAAGGAAGCUCUCUUUUCUUUGUAGUUAGUAGUCCUCUUUACAUAUACAUUCAACGGAAUAUUUCAACAUCCACAGCCAAACUAACUCCCCAGCUCAUCUACCUCCCUGGUACUAACAAAACUCAACGAAUUUCCAGUCAAUCUUGCUAUAUGGUGACUACCCUAGAGGUUACAAAGUGUACAAAAUGCCUGCCUGCACCAAUUUGUGUGGUAUACUAUCCGUAUGUAUGCUAAACCUAUAUCAACCCAUCUUGCUGACACAUGCAAUCAGGCAUCGGGAAGGUGUAUAUGGAAUCGUUAGGUUUCCUGAAUGCAAUGCUCCUUACGUCGCUGUGCUGCAGUAUUUCCUGCAUGUUCUGCUUAAAGCGAUCCCAUCUGAAAUUGCACGAGGGAAAUUAAAACAACUCAUCUUAAUAAUACAGUCCUAAACAAAACUAUGCCAGAAUUAACAUUUAGGUGUGCUACAAAAUUGUGGACUGGACCAAUAUAUUCAGAAAUGUAAAACCUAGGAAAGGCUUCUGGUGUAAAAAAAAUUCAGGGAUUAGUUCAAUGGGCCGUUGGGAAGGCAUACUAAUUAAAGAAGUUGAUUAGGUAAAAACCAGAACAACAGCAAGAACGGACCACUUUUUGGUCAAAACAUAGUCUUCAACAAUUGUUUUAUCAAAGAAUUAUCAUCUAGACGGCCAAAGUUGAAAACCGAAUUGCUGUGAUCUGACAGCUACUGGCAGCCAGUGAUGAGCUAACCACUUAUAAUUAUGGAUUUAGUGAAUGAUUGAUAGUUACUGAUCGAAACGUAUGGUGAGUGCUCCAAACAACUGACCUGAUAUUGGGAUCGUCAAAUGAUAAAACUAGCUUCCGUUUGUCAGGUUUUAUUGUCUUUGAAUUCCCUCUAAACAGGUAACGCCUGUGCCCCAUCAGAAAGUGAGGGAAGUUUCCUCCUUGAGUUGUCACAAACACUUCACUCUGAACGCAAACAGUGUAAUCUAACGCUGCUAGACGAGAUGAGUGUCCCUGCAGAGAAUAGGUUGGUGAGCGGGGUCCCAAUCUAACUUCUGUUCUCAACCAAGACAGAUACUUCAGACUAACAUAUUGUUCCAAAUUUGUAUGUGGUAAAGGUGAACAGAAGCAUGCAUGCAUACUCGUUCGGUGUUAAAAAUAACUCCAUCUCUUCUUUAAUGAAAUGAUAUGCAGCUCUCCAGUGUAUUCAAGUAAACAGAGUGCUGGCGAAAGUAAUACCUUGAACUGAGCAAGCUCUUCAGGUAAAGCAAGAGAAUCCUUUGUCGCUAAAAGAGGGAACAUCUGGCCAAGCGGAGCCAUGUAUUUUUCAGAAUUGUAUAUUUUACCAGAAGCAACGUACAGGGAGGUGGUAUUGUCAAAUCCCAUGCCUCGUAGCAUCAUACCAACCUGCAAGAAUCCAUUCAGUGAGGACAUCAUCUCCAGUAAACCCUUUUAAAUGAUUUUAGAAGGCAACUUAGUAAUAAACUGAAGCUUAACCGACUAAACUGACUUGAGAAUACAGAAAAGCAGGAAAAAAAAGUGAUAAACCAAGCCUAUAGCAAUUUUUAGGACACUUUGAAAUACUGACUACAUGAUUCAGCACACAAAUGCAACUGUCUGUCCAACAUAAAAUGCUGCACUCCCAUCAGAUGAUCCACAUACAGCAGCGUAGAUAUAGAAAGUGUUUACAGUGGACAAUACAAGGAGACAAAAAGAAAAAAGGAGGUCUAACCUCUAGAGGAGUAAGAGGACAUUUUCCAUCCCUUCUAUUUGCCUCUGGAUUUAUCACUUGACCAUGUCGACGAAACUUGCCUCUCCAGCUCCUUUCACGAGCAUUGUCCAUUUCAGUUUUCUCCUUCAAGCCACCGUCAUAUGUACAGCACGAAAAGGCUACCAUAUCCUAAAAGUACACAGUAUCAGUAGGAUGGAAGAAAAUACCGUAUUGCGAACAUGUACGAGAGAAUUAAUAACCUCUUCAAAGCGAAGAUGCACCGAAACAUAGUUCCCACCAGUCAAAUAACUCUUUUUCAUCAUUCGGCCAACCAAAUCCUCUGCAAGAUUUCUUAUUGGUUCAGCAAACCUCAGUGCGUGGUAGUUUACCAAACACCUCAAGGCCUGGAUGUUCGAUGGAACUGACUGGGCUAAUCUAUUUGAGAAUGGGGCUAUGCGCACAACCCUGCACAGAACAGACAAUAAAAUGAAACAUGCGCCUUGGCUUUGUCCCAGUUAAAUCAAGCUCUCCUUCAUUCUAGGUGGAGUGGGGGGGGGGGGGGGGGGGGGGGGGGGGUAUUCCUUACCCUAACUCCAGCAGUUUUGGAAGCACCUUUUGCACAUAGUGGUUCGGUGAUGAGUAGGCUUUAGUUCUCAUAUUUGGUAUGCUGCUGAUAUUAUGAUUGAAGCGCAGCAAAACAUCUUCAGGAAGUUUCUUCACAACUCUUACAUGUUCUCUGAGUGUCUCAAUGAAAUGAUCUUCGUCAAAUAUAUCACCAAAUUUGCUGGAAGAAAUACACCAGGUCAGAUUCUAUAUCCUCAUGAAACUGCUAACCAAGAGGUACAGAAGUAAUACCAAUGAUCAUUCUCAAAUCAAAAUGUUAAAGUUUGCAGUUUAUGUUGUAUGUUAACAACCUUUCACACUCUUAAACUAGUAUUUCCCAACAAAAUUAUAGGAAGUCACAAAUAAAAAGGGCAUUUUAUAUGUAAGGAAACAAUGUGAUAAUCAGACAAAUAGUUACCUCGCAUCACGCCAAACGCUAUUCAGAUGAAAUGUUGGGAUCACAAGAAUUGCAUUAAGCAAGCUGGCCACAGCAACAGCAUCACAGAUCUGCAUUGCAAAAUCUGAGUUAAUUAUUAUGCAACUUAGGGUGAAGACUCCAAGAACUUCAGAAAUAUAAUAGAUUAGCAUCACAGCUAAUGGGUACGGAUCACAGCAGGAUUUUAAGAAAUGGAGAGAAGAAAUAUAUUGACAACAGGACAUAUAAGCAUUAAUGUGAUAACCAAGAUGGUACUUCAGACUGUUUUUUUUUCCUAGAUAGCAGGACCUUUUCUACAUAAGAAUAUCUAAAACCACUGAUUUGCCACAUUUAUGUCAAAAACUUAAUUGAACUAUCCAACUCCAUAUAUAAAAGGAAGGAGUGACUUCUUUUUCUGGAAGAAACUCUACGCUGUUGCCAAUUCCCUCAUUUUCAUAAUAAAACUAUUGAAGAAAGCCAACGCAGUUAAGUAAAAUGUGACACUAACAUGACUGUCAAAAAUCACUCAUUGGUGCACCCUGAUGUCCAUAAUCACUCAUAUAUAGAAGCAAGGUGGUAGUAACUUUCUUUUUAUGGAAAAAAUUCUAGGCUGUUGCCAAUUCACUCAUUUUUCAUAAUACAACUAUUAAAGAAUGCCAGCACAGUUGAAUAAAGUGCGUCCAAAACCACUUAUUGGUGCAUCAAAGAUUUACAAGGCACUGGACUUUCAUUUAAGGCAAUGGCAAUGGUAUAUCUUACUCAGAACAAUGAGCACACAUCUAUUCAAAAAGUAAUAAUCCUGGUACUUACAGAAAGUCGUUGUUGAUUCAGACCACCAUUUGCUUCAAUCAUGAGAUAGCCAUUUGAGGGCGGCAACUCUGCAAAGAACCAAAAUGUGAUGUAGACUAUCAGUGUUGACUUAAAGUUCAUCCAGUUUCCUCAUGAUUAUGUGGCCCAAGAAUUCCAUAAGGUAUAUCAUUUCAAUUGGGUACAUAUGAUGUACGAAAUCAUAGCAAAGAUUUUCAAAAUGGAACCUGAUCGAAUCAGCCUGCUGUUGACACAAGGCAUCCAUGGCUCCCCAGAAUUUUGAUAUUGUGAUGUCAUUAACUGCACAAUACCAACAUAAAAGUGUUAUAUAACAUGAAUUUGAUAAGAGCAAACGUGUCUAAAGAUGGGCACAGAUUGGUUCCAACAAGAGGAAAAAAUAGGCAAAAUAGCAAGUUAUUCUACAUGUCCAGACGUUACAGGGAAGUCCACAUUGUCCAUUCCCUACCAAUAGGGGUUCAUUUUUGGCACAUUCCCAGAUUGAUUUAACAGUUAAAUUUGAAUGAAGAUAACCAAUUGCAUCCAAAAUUGAAGCUCUCAAGAGGCACAGUAUUGUGAUCUAAAGAUUAUUUCUUCCUUUGGAAUCUUAGGAGGCUUAAACUACAAACAUUCUGUUCCUUGUUUAGCAAAGCAUACAGCUAUGCAACAGGUUGUUACUCAGAGUACAUCUAGUUCAUAAGCAAAGAAGAAAAAAGACAUGAUAUACUAGUAAAUAAAUGCUCAGUAGAAUCGAUCACUCAGAACCGAAGGUGAAGUAAACAAGGCGAAGCCCAAGAAACCAAGAACCAUCCUGUAUUUAUUUCGGCCCUGAACUCACAACAAGAACACCACCUGACGAAACAAGAAAAACAAUGCGCAUCCCUCCCGUUAUUAUUUUCCGAGCAGGAACAUGUAAAGGACGCCGAAAUUCGCGGAAUAGUUGGACUAAUCCUUGCAGCAAAACCCAGGAAGAGACGGAGCAAAGAAGCACGCGAGAACUGAAGCUUCGCCCCCCCCACAAGAAAAGCCAGCGAGCACCGAUGAUACCCGUAGCAAAGAAGAAACAGGGGUGGUCGCUACUCGCUAGAUAGGAAGGGGAGCAGCGCCCUCACCAUGCUGCGGCGCCACGAGGCCGAGGAGGAGAGGGAGGAGGCGGACGCGACGAGCGUGGCGUCGUCGCGCAUGGACGGCCAGAGCCGCUCGAAGACGAGGUGGCUGCGGUACACCGACCCGGGCUGUGGCGGCGAGGGCGGCGGGGCCGCGUGGCGCCGCGGCCGCUGGAGCGGGGAGGAUGAGGCCACCUCGACGCCCGGACCCCCGCCGGAGAGCCUCCCGGCGAGCAGGAACAUGAGCGUCCCCGCGGCGUAGGCGAGGGCGAGGAGCAGGACGACCACGCCGCGCCUCCGCGGUCCGCCGCCGCCGCGGGCGCCCGGGCGGCGCCACGCGGCGGCGGGCUUGCGCAUUGACGCCGCGAGAGACAUGGGGGCGGGGGACCCUCAGCGGCGGCGCGUGGGGAUCAUGUGAGCUCCGCUCGCUCAGCUGGGGUGGGGGGAGGUUGGGCGGAAACGGGCGCAGGGAUUAAUGGAGCUGCAGGGGAUGGUGAGGCGAGAGGAGGGAGGGAGAAGCAGAUUGGAAGGAUGGAAACCGAAAAGGGAAGAAACGCGGAAGGAAAACGUGUGCGCAGGAAUUAGUAGUGUGUAACCGCCGGAAUCAGCGUGGCCAAAUGGCGGUGCGCGUACGUGGCGUCGUGCGACGACCUCGGAUUGCCUUGUGCGGCACUAGCCUGAUUGCUUGCGCCCUCGCUGCGUGUAGCCUACUUUGGUGCUUCAUCUUGACUAUAGAAUCUACACUUCAGUUUCAUAUUAUAUUAUGUUCUGCUACCGACGUAACUAGGAAUAACAUAUCGUGGAUUUGAAAUGAAUAACAUAUCGUGGAUUUGAAAAGAAAAUUAUCUGAAUAGAAACGUUGGGUGAAACAUAUCCUACCAUUGUAUUGCAAAUCUAGCUCUCUCACGCUUAGCGACGUGGAGCAAGCGACCGUUAACUAUGUUGACGUCACAUGUUUUGCUAUUGUCUAUUAGAGUACUUGUAGUGUUCCGAUCGAGUCGUUGGAAUAAUAGACAUGUAACCUAAUACAACUCCAGUUCAACAUUUCUUUCUUUCUAUAUGCUGCUAGGUAACAAAGUUUAGACUUCCGUACUACUCAUAAACCAUAACCCUAAAUACAGAUCAGAUGGUUUCGUGGAAAGUUCAUAGCUAACUAUCCAACUAUUUUGAAAUUCGUGGCUCCUGUCUUUUAUUUUGGUGGCAACUUAAACGAAAUAGCCUUUUUUAGCGAUACAUGAAUAAAAUAGCCUUUUCCGGUUGCGGUUGAACGCUCUCACGAAAAUAUGACAUCCGACAAGAACCUUGAAAACAAGCGUGCACCUGAAGAUCGCAGGCACAGAGAAUCCAAGGAUUCGACGGAGCUCCCUUGUGGGUGAUGCAAACUUUCAACGGUCCUCGGAUGGGGGCGUGGACCUGGGACUGUGAGGGCAGGCUCUGUUUAGUGCGCAAACCGUCAAAUCAAAACCAGCUGCUAGUACUCUCUCUCUCUCUCUCUCCCCGUGGAAGCCACUGCCAAGAGAGAGUAGUGCUUCUGGCUCUGCCUGUUGCUGUCUGAUCAAAUUAGUGGUGUUAUUCAUCUGACACCGGAUGGUAGUUCGCAGCGCACACCUAUGGGGUGGCUCUAGUGGUUUAGCCUUUAGGACUAGGCAUAUUUGCUGAUUACUGAAACAAUAUUUCGUCCAAGAAAUUCUCUUGGCUCUAGUGGUGAAUGGAGACGGCGCGUGGAUUUUCUCGAGAAUUAUGAGGGUGUUUGAUACUAGGUGCUAAAUUUUAACAGUGUCGCAUCGGAUAUUCGGAUGCUAAUUAGGAUGAGCUAAUUAUAAAACUAAUUGCUGAACUCUGUGCUAAUUCGCGAGACGAAUCUAUUAAGCCUAAUUAAUCCGUCAUUAGCAAAUGGUUAUUGUAGCACCACAUUAUCAAAUUAUGAACUAAUUAGGCUUAAUAGAUUCGUCUCGCGAAUUAAACUAUCUGUGCAAUUAAUUGUAAUUAGACUAUAUUUAAUACUCCUAAUUAGCAUCAAACAUCCGAUAUGCUCCGGAGCGGCCCCUCGGGCGUCGUCGAUUAUCCGCACGCGGAGGUCAACGGCGCGGGCUUCGACGACUCCACGCGCGUGCUCUGCCUCAGGGACGGGAUGGCCAGCAUCGUCUUCGCCAAGCCCGGUGACGCGCGCUGGACGGUGGUGCCACUGCUACGUCAGCUCGCCGGAAGGUUCGGUCUACCUGGUGUUGCGGUACGGAGAGGCGUCGAGCACGUCGGCGUUCCCAUCCAUUGCGGCUGGCGCCAUAUACACAUACACCAAUCUCGGGGCUUCAGCGUCUAACGACAUCGUGUCGACAAGCAGAGGAACAAAGGAGGACCGAACCACACCGCAGCCGCACAAGCUCGUCUUCCAUGAACACCGGGGUUUAGCUCCGGCUGCCAGUGCCAGGCCCUGCAACUUCUCUUGUUUGGAUUGGCGUGAUUUUGUUUUGCAACCUAAAAGAUCGAGAAAAUAUUCUACUUGACGUAAUUUAUCGAUCAAUGAGCCAAACACUCUUUCGGGUGGGGACAAAGUUGGUAUUUCUCAAAACACAGCCAACUGGAGGGCUGGGACGGAAUCUGACAGCCUUUUAUGGUAAAAUUAUCACAACAAUAAAUCGACAAAGUAACUUUAAUUUAGGAGACUAAAAGCAAAGAUCAACGACAAAUGAAAAGUACUUAAUAACACAAACAUCCAGUCGGUACAAUGUAUCUUAGAACCACAGAUUCUUCACCGAGGCAAUUCUGCCUUUGCCAUUAAGGUCUGUAAUCCUACCAUUUUGCCACUGGACACUCCCAAGGUUUGUUUUUACCACGUGAAGGGUCCCAGUGGCAAAAAGUCAAAAACCAAAAUGCAUCUGGGAUUUCAUCACUUGAUGGCAAAAGCAGAAUUUGCGCGCUCUUACACUGCAGCCACUUGGUUGUACAAGCAGCCGUAGGAUUAAGCAAAAGGUGGAUCACGUGAUCAGUUCAGAUCCUAGUAAACCUGGUAAUAACCUAAUCUAGUUUAUCCGUGAUACUUCAUGGUUCUAAGUUCAGUGUGGCGUCUGCACUGGCCUCGACUUCCUUCUUGCUCCUGAUCUUGCAUCUCCUCUUUGCUUCCUCAUCUAGGUAGACCAGGUCUUCGACGACCGCAAUGUGCGCAUACAGCAGCUCUUCCAGGUUGUCAACAGGAGCAGCCUUCUUACCUUUGCCAUCUCUCAUCUGCUGGAACUCUUCCUUACCGUGGUUUCUGCUGGAGAAAUAGUCGUUGAUUCUCAUGGCUUCCUGAAACCCAGAUAUUGUUGGCUGGAACUUCACCAGGAAGACACUCUGAUUAGCAGGUCUUCCAUGGCUAACCUUCACCUUCUCACGUGGUACCCCUAUAUCUGGAUAAACAAAACAACAUGAACAACUAUUGGAGUCAAUAGCACAAGGCUGCUAUUAACAACUAAAGAUUAACCUCUCAGAAAGCUGCAUUAUUACAAAUGCAUUCAUUUUGCUACGAAAAUACUACCAUAAUCACAAAGGAACAAACAAGUAUGCCUAAAUAAGCCAAUGUAUCAGUCCAUUCAUAACAUCUUAAGGAAAUACUACAGAAGACAACAUAAGAACAUAUUUAGCCACAAUCAUAAUUUCUAAGGUAUCCAUAUUGAUAAACAAAAAGUUAACAAGUGCACAGGUAUGUUCUUCUGAGGCUCAGCGGAAACUAACUUGCCAGUACGCCUUCAAUUUCUUCCAUGGACACAACCUUUGCUUCAGUAUCCUUUGCCUUGCUCACGAUUGAGCUGUUAUGUAUCACAACUACUGGAGGCCACAACAUGAGAUCUCCCCUCAUGGCAUUUACUUCCUCAGAUGAAAUGGAGUGAUGGGCUUUAGAUGUGUCUGGAGCAACAAGCCAAUUCCACCCCAUCAAAACACAGAGUGCUUUGUGAAACCCUAAGUGUUUUGUCUUCAACCCUGCUUUGGAUGUAUCAUAAGCAUGUGAUAGCAAGGCAUCAAGAUCUGGGAUUUCACCACGUGAAGGGUCCCAGUGGCAAAAAGUCAAACAUCCAGUCGGUACAAUGUAUCUUAGAACCACAGAUUCUUCACCGAGACAAUUCUGCCUCUACCAUUAAGGUCUGUAAUCAUUAUAUACUUCCUCCAUAGCAAAAUAUUUAUCGCUGUUAUUUUUUUCCGAUACAUCUGACCAUUCAUUUUAUUUAAAAAUUUAUUGUAAAUGUACGAAAAGAAUAUUUAUGAUGGUAAAGUAAUCAUUUAUUGUAAAUGGCUCAGCCACGUAGAUCUCGCCGCGGCGGGGGAGCGGUGGCGAGCCGAGUCGGCCCCUCCCUCCCACGAACGGGAGCGGCGGCGAGCCUGGGUCGGCCCCUCCCAUCCACGGACGGGAGUGGCGGCAUCGCCCCCGAGUCAGCACCUCCCUCCCACGGACGGAAGCGGCGGCGGGAGCUGCGGGCCUGCGACGACGCCCCGGCUUGGACCUCUGCGGACGGGAGCGGUGGCGGCGCCCCGGCUCAAACCUCCUGCGGACGGGUGCGGCGGGGGCGCAGGCGCAGGGGAGAUCGGGAGGGGGGAAAGGAGUUCUCUUUCUCUCUCCCACUUUCAUGUGGGACCCACAGAGGCCUUCACGGCAAGUGACGGUAGAAUCCAACGGAAUGGCAAGUACGGGAUGGAGUUAAAUUUUCAGUGGCACUGAGGGGAUGGAGUUAAUUUUGAUGGCACGUAAGGAAUGAGUUAAAUUUUUAAUGGCAGAUAGGGAAUUUGCUUAGGGUUUUUCAUGUCCCUUCGUUCAAAAAUAAAUAUACUUCCUCCAUAGCAAAAUAUUUAUCGCUGUUAAUUUUUUCUGAUACAUCUGACCAUUCAUUUUAUUUAAAAAUUUAUUGUAAACGUACGAAAAGAAUAUUUAUGAUGGUAAAGUAAGCCACAAACAAAAACAAAAUAAAUGAUGCUUAAAUAAUUUUUUAAUAAUAUGAAUGGUUAAGACUAAGUGUCAUUGACAGCUAUUUUGAUACGGAUAUUAUCAUUCAAAAUUUGUCAAAAAAAAAAUAAGUUAUUACACUUAAUUUAGUACGUGCUUAUAUGCACAGGUAUGCAUCAGUCAAUUAGCACCAGAAUAAAUAAGGUCAUUUUAACUCCUUGUUUUUUUUAAUCCAUCCUACAAUUUCUUGGGUGAUUUGUUUUUUUGACAGAGGGAGCAUGCAUGUUUGUCUAAUUUGAUCAUAUCACAUCACAAGACGAAUUAAUAUCAUUGUCAAAUUCCUUAUGAACUAUCCAAAUCCAACUAUUUAGGCAUGUUGUCUUUUCUUUUUCCUUAGCGUAAAUUUACGGCAUGCAAAGUAAUUGAGACUAGCAAAUGUAUUUUGACCGGUUAUCUUUAAGCUAAUUAAGUAGGCCCUCCUAGUGGUCCAAAGCGAAGGAUUGCACUUUUUUUAGGAUUUUUUUGAAGUGUUAGAAUUGCGGUUUUUAUUAGGUGAAUGGAGUAUGUGAAAGUUUUCACCCUUUGCAUUUCAGCGGUACGUAAGAAAAUUGGACAAAAACGUCCUUCUUCAUUGGAUUUUGAGUAAGUAACCGAGAUAGCACGGAAGAGAAUGGAAAUUUAAGUACUGGCACGUAAUGACGUAAGUAAACUCAAAACUUUAUAUAUCACAUAAGGGAAUGGUAUAAUGUUUAGUGGCAUACAAGAUACUUUUUUCAAAGAGAAAGAUUCAUGGUGCCAGGUUCCAGCGGUUGCUUUGGAUGAACUGAAGGAACUUUUUAUUUCCUGGCCACGAGGGCAGUCUGAUCAAUUCCUGUGCCAGUGAAUAUGAACAGAAAAUGUAAAUGAAUGAAACGAAAGUGGUGGAGAGGGUAAAUAAUCAAGAUGGCCACGAAACCAGUGUACGAGGGGCUCAUGUUGAACAUGGCAGCUUGACGAAGCCCAACAGAGCAGGUGGUAAAUAUCUUAUUAUUUUCUCACGAAAUGUAAAUAGAGAGUAAUUAGGUGGCAGAAAUGUUCAUCGCACACACUCAUCAGUUGGAUGAAUUAUACCCUCCGUCCUCAAAUAUAUGAUGCUUAGGACAAGCAAAUUAGACCAUUUUUGAACUAAUUUGUUUGUCCUAAACUUCAUAUAUUUAUGGAUGGAGGUAGUAGUUGUUUAUGUAACAUAUAAAUCAAAAUGCAUACUGACUCGACAAAGAAAUAGAUAUAAUCAGGGCUAGAGGCUUACAUAAAUUAAAUCUGCAUGGCAGCAUAACCAGAACAAGUACCAGACAUCAGUUCACAAGCAUCUUACAUACAUAUGUUAUAACACUAGGUACACUGACUACAAAACAACUACAUAAUAACUUAAACCACCCGAAGGAAGCAACAUUAGUUUGCCAGGUAAUAGCAUCACCAAGUCAGUGGCCGAGUCAUGUCGUGGUACGAUGACACACAGUUCUGAAGUAAUCUAAGGAAGAAGAGACCAUGCAACCACCAUGUGCAGGCUCGAGGAUCCAAUGUGAAAAUAGCCUUGAUUUCUCAGGGCUGACUUAGGUACAAAACCAAACUUCUUCUCAAGCUUAGUGCUGCUCUCGCCAGCGUCACCUAGCUGUUCAGCCUUGAUGCCAAGGAUCAGUUCAGCCCUCUCCUCCACGACGACUACUCGGCGCUGCAGUGUGACCUCCCCAUCCUCGUUGACGACCACCUCCUUGCCCCUGGUGUCCAGCAGCACUACAUCCUCACCAAUGCCCGUGUUGCAGGCAGUGAGGCGUGCACUAAAGUUGCCUGAUCCCUUGCUGAUGCGGGCAGUGAUGGUCGCCUCCACGGAGCGCUUGACAUGAGCGUACCUGACCUCCACUGUGCUAUGCUUGCUUGAAAGCACCUCUGUUCUGGUGUAACUGAGACUGCCUCUGUAAGAGAUGUUGUUGUAUCCAAAGAAAUCCAAGCAUAAAAUCUUGUCAUCUUCAGACAAUGAACUCCCUGUGUCCUUCACUUUCAGGUCAAUCUCAAAAAUAGGCUCAUCCCACAGCAGGAUAGCUCGGCUAGGACCUGUAAGUUCCAAAAGAGAAUCCUGCAUACAGUGACACAAAUUCAAGGCCAGCAAAUUUCAAUUGCCUUUAGGAACACCAUCACUAAAGGUGCAUCAGCAGCCAGACAAAUUAAAAGCCCGCAGAUUUCAAUUGCCUUUGGAAACACCAUCACUAAAGGUGAAUCAGCAGCCAGCAAUUUAUUUCACUAGUGAUGCACAUACAAAACCACUUAAUAGCAUCCUCUAAAAUGCAGAUUUAAGGAUCAGGAAUGUGCCCACCUACUGAAAUCUUGCAUGUCAGGGCCAGCCAACCAAGAACUGAAGUGGAUACCAACUAUAAAAACUACAUUUGAUAUACUUUUAAAAAUAUAACCAAGUUUUACUAUUUACGUUUUAAGAGCCAGCAGCAACAUGCAUAAAGUAUCUCUGAUGGAAAGGUUCAGAUCCUAAUUCACAGUAUCAACCUGUAUAAAUAUUUCUUCCGAAUGCUAGCUUGGAGCUAAGCGCCAUAAAAAUCAGCUGAUAUUACCAGUACUACCAAGCAGAUUACACCAUAUACAUGCAUUGAGAUGCUUAUAGUAGAUUAAAUGGGCAAUGGAAUAGGACAGAAGUUGAAACACAGAUGUUUGAACAUGCCUGAGAGGUGAGGGUCUGGCAAUUAUCUCUGCCUCGCCUGAAGAGGUAGUUGCGCUUCCAGUCUAGGGAAUCGCGCACAGCGACAAUGCCAUAGACAUCUAGUGGCCAUUGGAGGUCGCUGGUGAUCUGAGUCACCUUGACGAAGAAGACCUCCAUGGUAUCACCAGGUCCAGCAGUUAAUGGCAGCAUCGGUAUGUCCGUGUAGCACAUGGGAGGGUACUGGGCUGAAAAAGGAACGGGGUUAUUUGUUAGUCCAGUCAUCUAUACCUAGACAUCAUAAUUGAUUGAUGAUGAAGCAAACAAAUGCUGUGCAUAAGGAAAAACUGUUACUCGUAUAGCUGCAUAUGAUAAAAUGGCUUGGAAAGGGGAUUUUUUUACUAUAAACAUUUGACAAACAAUGUAAUUAGGAGCAAAUAUAUGGGGAAAUCAUAUAGAUCUCAAGCCAAUAUGGGAUUGAAACGGGGUUCAUAUUAACAUUUAAUAUUAUCUUUUAUUCUUUCUAAAAUAGAAUCAGUAGGUUUUGUAAACAACAGGAUCUAAAACGGAUGACCCACAUCAUGACGUUUUUUCUAACCUCCUACCAUUGAUCUCAAGCACCAGUCCCCAGCAAGUUCACGCGUCUAAUCAUGCCUCCUUGAUAUAAGAAAAGAAACAAAUGCUACGGAUUUGAAAUUACGGUUUUUGAGUGGAUCCUAAUCCGUUGGCCACGACUGAAGAAAGCUCCAACAAGAUGAUCAAGACGAGGAAAAGCUGAUCAAGACGAGGAGAAGCAAGAGAGAUGUGCAGACGAAUACGUACUCUCGGCCUCGAAGGGGAUGGCGCCGUUUCUGUCGAACAUCGAGAGCCAACUCUUGCGGUGCAACUCAAAGCAACCCUCCGGCCCCAGCUCCUCCUCCUCCUUCUCCUCAUCCGUCUCCAUAGCGCUGUGGUGGUCGCCGUUGUUGGCCUCGCGCGGCCUUUUAGCAUCGCCGCCCUGAAGCACUUGACCCGCGGCCUUCUCCAGAUCCAGAUCAGACCUCUUGUGGCCGUGGCCGUGGCCGUUCUCACCCAGCUUCGCCUCCAGAUCCAGAUCAGACCUCUUGUGGCCGUGGCCGUUCUCACCCAGCUUCGCCUCCAGAUCCAUCGCCUCCAUAUUCCGCCGCCGGGAAGGUUAGGGUUUUUGCCCCGCCGCCGAAGAGAAGGCUAGCGAGAUGCCUCUAGAUCUCGGAUUGGUGUUGGGACGGCCGGGGUGGGCUUGUUGACUGAUGAGGUGAGAGAGGUCCGCGGGCUGCUGGGAUCAGUAAAGGGCCUGUACAUUUCUCCCGGCCCGUGUUGGAUGACAUGGGG